UGUUCGCUCAAAACGAAUCACCCUAUUACACGUAUAUGUCAUUCGAUUCAGAAUCGAAUGAAACGUGUUUGUAUCCGAUCGGGGGAAAACAUUUCUUAAUUUUUUGGAUUUUAGCUGAUUAGUGAGCUGUGAAUUUUCGAAUUUCCCAGUUUUCCGGCUUUCUUUCAGAAAAAGCUGUUUAUAAACAUGACCAUUUCAUUUAAUUUCGUCUCUCACUGCUGUUGAAAAUGUUUACAGGAAAAUGGAGUCACUGUUCAAAAAACAAAAAUAAUGAGGAACCCAUUAUUUUCUGUCUGGUGGGGCUAAACAAAAAGGAUUGUGCCGUUAUGGAAUCAGUUAUAAGAUUCUCUGGAGAAGAAGUUACCUAUGACUCCAACAAAAACAACAUCCAGUUUACUAACAGAAAGUACUAUGAAGAAAAAAAUUUAGACAAUAUACCAGUCACAUUUUUUUAUGUAAAGUUCAUAAAAUAUCGUUAUGCUGCUGAAACGGUUUUGGAUUUACACGAUUUCAGAUUUGGUCCACGAACUUCAGAGGACGAGUUAACCGUCUUAUGCUUUCUGUACGGGACCGCAGACAUUUUCGAGAGUUUUAAACAACUCCUUUUAGCAGCGGCGAAGGAUGAAGAAUCUGCUACUGCUGCAGAUGAUUCAUCCGGUGCUGCUCUAAGAACGGGAGUAAUUCCUUGUUCCUCUGGAGGAAAAAAAUGUAGCCCUGGCAAGUUUAGGGGCCAUCCCUAAAAUAAUUAGAACAGCUCCUCUUCGCUCAGUCAACAAUAGAGGCUCGAUAUUUUCUCCAUUCGAUGAAAACUUGACGCCUCAAGCGGGGGCCUUGUUGCUUGAUGGCAACAUCGUGUCAUCUUCCCUGUGCGAGGCGUCAUCCCAUCAGUCAAGGGAUAUUUUGGACAACGAGGAUGUCGAAGUUGUCAGCCGUUCUAAACAAUCACCGGGGACCAGCACAGAACGUGUUAAAAUAUGGAGGAAAAAUCGUCUAGGAGAGAGGGAAGUACCGACACGUAAGCCGUUCACCCAUCAAGGUGAUUGCGCUAUGAUCAAAUAUCUGCUCACAACAGAUCAAUUCCCUUACGCAAAGGGAUUGGCUGUAUGGGGAGAUUUUUAUCAGAAGAAAAUACUGCCUUAUCAUACGCCUCAAUCUCUACAAAAUCGCUACACUAAAAAAAUUUUUCCCUUACUUAAAGGAAUGCUGAAACAAUUGAGUAGGAACGCCGUAAUCCUUGACACACUCUCUAAAUCGAAAUCUUCGAAAUCUACAUCGAAGUUUUGAAUCGGAUGCAGGCAGUUCCGAUAAUGGUUCGAGUUCCAAGGAGGACGAGGAUCGGAAAGGUUGAAAAGGAGCUUGAAGAUAGAAGAGUCCAAGAAGGAGGAUCCUUUCGAGUCGUCCGCUCGAAAGCUAACACGAAACUACAACUUUUAUGUAAAUACAUUUUUUUUCAGUUACUUCAAGUUUCCGAGAUAUAUUCAUUUGAGAAAAAACGGUAUUUUCUAAAAUUAUGAAUUUUAGAAAAAAUUCACAUCGAGUGCCUUUUAGUAGUACUUUGAUAUAAUCAGUUAUGAAGUAGAUCUGAGAUGGUCGAAAAAAAAGUGGCCGGUGUGACAGAGAAUCCCUCAUAUAUUGGAGCUUUUCAAUUAGAGCUGAGUGGAGCUGAGUUAGAUACAGAAUUCAACACUGUGUCACACAGUGUUGAACACAAAAUGGGGGCUUGUAUACGCUCUGUGUCCGACACAGCCGUAAUUGAAAAGCACCUCAUAUAUAUGUGUAUUAGGGUGGUCCUUAUUUGAGGUUGAAAUUUUUUUCUCAAAUUCCCCCCCUGGUUCGAUUCUAAAUCACUAAAAAAGAUACCACAACAAAGCUGUGGUCAGUGGGAUGAUGGGAAAGGGUGCCGGCAAGCCCGGUCGUUGUUUCUACUUCAGUCAAAUUUGUGUUUGCUUUAUCUUUGGCUCCUAUUCUUUUUCUAUGUAUAAAUCACGUCGAGCCAUCCAAGUGUACUCGAAACCCUUGUCAAUCGUCAUUAAGAACAACCAUUCAAGUAUUUAUUUAACAUAUAGUCGUUGACAAUUCGAACUACAAUAUUUUCCCGUAUACCCAGGAAUAAAUCAUCACAUGAUUUUUUAUUCUUUGCUCCUGAAUUUCGAUAAUAAACAACUUUUCUAUCGUUUUUCUAUUCGUCGAGAGAAUUAUAUAUUUAAAAAUUUCUAGAUCAUUACUUCCUCUGAUAUUUUCUUCAUGACCUAGAGGUAAACGGUUCUAUUUGCAUGCUAUUACUGAAUUUAUAUAUCUGUCGUUUUCGGGAUCCAUUACUCAAGAACAGCCUUUUUUGAGGGCCGAUGAAACGAAGUAGUCUUGUUUCGUGGGCUUAUGUCAGUUUGUCGGUGUUUUGAUGCGAAUUUUUACAUCUGAGGAUUUUUUUUAUAACGUGAUAGUCAGGCGCUAUGCUGAGAGACACGGAAUAAAAGAACUGUUUUGAGAAUUUGUUUGUCAAAAGAAAGUCGAACGCAACGCCGAAAGAAUUUUGAUGAAUAAUUCGCAAUAAGAUGCAAUUCCUGAACCAUCGGAUGAUUUAUAUCAGCAUUUUAUAUGAAAGUUAUUAAAGAAUAAUGAUUAUUUAAGAAGAUUAAUAUUUGAGGAUAGAAUUUGUAGUUAAGGUGGCUUGGGCUAUGCCGAAAAAACUUAAAAGAUAUCAGGAAAAAUAUCGUGUUAGCUGGACGCUGUUCCACGAGACAUGAUAUUCGGAACGGCGUCGGCUUUCCCAGGGAAGUGUGAUAGUUGGACUCUAUGCCGCCGAGACUAUAAUAGUAAAACACGCAGAGAUUACAAAAGGAAGAAAGAUUGGAAUAAAAUGAUAAAUAACCGGCCUCAGCAGAAAAACAUCACUUUUAUAUAAAAUGCUUUUUUUUCAAUCGAUUCGAACUUGCCGGUACCAUUUCCCAUCAUCCCACUAACUCCAGCUUUUUCGUGGUGUCUUUUUAGAAUCGAACCAGGGGGGGAAUUUGAAAAAAAAAAUUUCAAUCUUAAAUAAGGACCACCCUAAUGUGUAUAUGUGUGUAUAUUAUACUUGUUAUAUGAGUAUAAAUAAUCAUAGUGUAUGAGUAUAAUAAUCAUAUACGCGAGUAUAUGAAUGUAUUUUAAUAUAUAUAUAUAUAUUUGUAAGAAAAAUGUCAGGAUAAAAAUUGGACACGAAGAAAUAAUAUUAAUAAAUCUUUUAUCUUUUUUCAA
rnacentral:lncRNA from 1 species